rnacentral:snRNA from 1 species
GGACGUGAGGGCGAUCUGGCUGCAACAUCUGUCACCCCAUUGAUCGCCAGGAUUGAUUCGGCUGACCUGGCUGGCUAGGCCGGUGCCCCCUUCCUCCCUUGCUGCCCCACGUGUGUCCUUCCCGAAGCUGCACACUCGGUGGCAGAGGACGACCUUGCCCCCUAGAGGAGGAACCGUCUUCGGUCAAGGGUAUGCGAGUAGCCACACUGCCCUGCAGGACCUCCAAACAAGCUCACAAUACGCAGCUCAGGGGCAGAAUCAUUUUCAGAGACACGAGGUGCUGU